GAUGAACGCUAGCGAUAGGCUUAACACAUGCAAGUCGAGGGGCAUCGAGGGUAGCAAUACCUGUCGGCGACCGGCGCACGGGUGAGUAACGCGUAUGUAACCUGCCCGCAACAGAGGGAUAACCCGGCGAAAGUCGGACUAAUACCUCAUAAAACAGGGGUUCCGCAUGGGGCUAUUUGUUAAAGAUUUAUUGGUUGCGGAUGGGCAUGCGUACCAUUAGGUAGUUGGUGAGGUAACGGCUCACCAAGCCAUCGAUGGUUAGGGGUUCUGAGAGGAAGGUCCCCCACACUGGUACUGAGACACGGACCAGACUCCUACGGGAGGCAGCAGUGAGGAAUAUUGGUCAAUGGGCGAGAGCCUGGACCAGCCAAGUCGCGUGAAGGAUGACUGCCCUAUGGGUUGUAAACUUCUUUUACAGGGGAAUAAAAUGAGAUACGUGUAU
rnacentral:rRNA from 1 species